ACAGGGUGACAGGUGGUGCAUGGUUGUCGUCAGCUCGUGUCGUGAGAUGUUGGGUUAAGUCCCGCAACGAGCGCAACCCUCGACCUUAGUUGCCAGCAUUCAGUUGGGCACGUCUAAGGUGACUGCCGGCUAAAAGUCGGAGGAAGGUGGGGAUGACGUCAAAUCAUCAUGCCCCUUAUGACCUGGGCUACACACGUGCUACAAUGGGCGGUACAAAGGGUCGCGAACCCGCGAGGGGGAGCCAAUCCCAAAAAGCCGCUCUCAGUUCGGAUUGCAGGCUGCAACUCGCCUGCAUGAAGCCGGAAUCGCUAGUAAUCGCGGAUCAGCAUGCCGCGGUGAAUACGUUCCCGGGCCUU
rnacentral:rRNA from 1 species